GCCAGUGUGACUCAUGUUGGCUGAGUACCGGUUUUGUAAACCGGUUGACGCAGGUUCGAUUCCUGCCACUGGCUCAA
rnacentral:tRNA from 1 species